CAAAAACAUAUGAUGAGAGGAGGAAUUUCAUGAGAGGGGAUGUCAGUAAUCAACAUAGAACCUCACAUAGUAUAAGAACAUGUCGCAUUAGUUUGAAAGCAUAGUGAAUGGUGGAAGAGAGGAAGAAUGUGAUGAUUGUACGAGAUGGCAAAUAGCAUAGACAACAUAGGAAGAGAGGAGGAAUUUCAUGAGAGGGAAGGUCGUAAAUCAACAUAGAACCUCGCAUAGUAUGAGAACAACAUAUCGUAUUAGUUUAAAAGCAUGAAUGGUGGAAGAGAGGAAGAAUAUGAUGAUUGUACGAGAUAGCAAAUAGCAUAGACAACAUAGGAAGAGAGGAGGAAUUUCAUGAGAGGGAAAGUCAUAAAUCAACAUAGAACCUUACAUCGUACAAGAACAACAUAUAAUAUUAGUUAAUAAGCAUAGUGAAUGGUGGAAGAGAGGAAGAAUAUGGUGAUUAAUUGUACGAGAUAGCAAAUAACAUAGACAACAUAGGAAGAGAAGAGGAAUUUCAUGAGAGGGAAAGUCAUAAAUCUACAUAGAACCUCACAUAGUAUAAGAACAAUAUAUAGUAUUAGUUUGAAAGCCUAGUAAAUGGUGGGAGGGAUUAAGAAUAUGAUUGUACGAGAGCUAGAAAGACGAAGAGGACACAAGAGAAAGUAUUAACAAAACCUCACAUAAGAACAUGUAUCAGCUUAUAAGAACAACACUGGCCAUCAUAAUAACAGCAUAGCAUAAGAUAGCAUAGCACACGACACGCAGUAAUAGAAGUAGUAGGAGGAGGAAGAAGAAUAAAAUAGACGUAUAAAUGAGGAAAUACGAGAAAUGGAAAACUCAGUGGACGUAGGAAGAAGAGGAGGAGGAAGAAAAAAAUAUAUACAUGAAUGAGAAAAUAAGUGAAGAAAAAGAGAACUCGAAGGACGUAGGAAGAAAUAGAAACACGAAUGAGAAAAUGAGAAGAGAAAGAAAAAUUCGAAGGACGCAAGAAAAGGAGGAGGAAG